rnacentral:rRNA from 1 species
GACGAACGCUGGCGGCGUGCUUAACACAUGCAAGUCGAACGGAAAGGCCCUGCUUUUGUGGGGUGCUCGAGUGGCGAACGGGUGAGUAACACGUGAGUAACCUGCCCUUGACUUUGGGAUAACUUCAGGAAACUGGGGCUAAUACCGGAUAGGAGCUCCUGCUUCAUGGUGGGGGUUGGAAAGUUUCGGCGGUUGGGGAUGGACUCGCGGCUUAUCAGCUUGUUGGUGGGGUAGUGGCUUACCAAGGCUUUGACGGGUAGCCGGCCUGAGAGGGUGACCGGCCACAUUGGGACUGAGAUACGGCCCAGCCUCCUACGGGAGGCAGCAGUGGGGAAUAUUGCACAAUGGGCGGAAGCCUGAUGCAGCAACGCCGCGUGCGGGAUGAUGGCCUUCGGGUUGUAAACCGCUUUCGCCUGUGACGAAGCGUGAGUGACGGUAAUGGGUAAAGAAGCACCGGCUAACUACGUG